rnacentral:rRNA from 1 species
UACGGAGGGUGCAAGCGUUAUCCGGAUUCACUGGGUUUAAAGGGUGCGUAGGCGGACAGGUAAGUCAGUGGUGAAUCUCUGGGCUUAACUCAGAAACUGCCGUUGAUACUAUUUGUCUUGAAUAUCUUGGAGGUAAGCGGAAUAUGUCAUGUAGCGGUGAAAUGCUUAGAUAUGACAUAGAACACCGAUUGCGAAGGCAGCUCACAAAACUAUAACUGACGCUGAGGCACGAAGCGUGGGUAGUCAAACGGA